AUUUAUCCGGCAUAGGACAUAGGGCGGUUAUGGUUAGGUAUUGGGGGUGGUCUCCUGUCCCAAUUAGGAUUGAAGCACCUUACACGACUAGGCCCUAGUUUAGGUCGUGUCAUUAUCCUUUGUGAUAUUGGUGCGGCAUGGAGGGUAACCUCUGUCAUAUUAGUGUGUUAUGCCAAUGUUUAAAUUUCAUCUAGUUUUUGUUAUUUUUUGCUUAGGAUAAGGUGCUUUUGGUCUUUUUACCCCUUGUACGACCC
rnacentral:lncRNA from 1 species